CAUGCAUGUGAAGUUGGGGCACUCCNAAGGUGACUGGCCCGGUGACAAACCGGAGGAAGGUGGGGAUGACCGGCAAANCAGCAUGGCCCCUUAUGACCUGGGGCUGACACACGUGGCUACAAUGGGACGGGGACAAAGAGCUGCAAGACCGCGAGGUGGGAAGCUGAAUGCUGCAUGAAAACCGUUGCUGCAGUGUGCGGAUGUGGUGAGGGCUGGCAACUGCGCCUGACAUGGAAAGCUGGGAGUGCGCUGAGGAAUGCGCGGGAUGCAGCAUGGCCGCGGGAGACGGCCCGGGCGGACACACCGCCCGGCACACCACGAGAGGGGACACCCGAAGGCGGGGGGACCAGGAGCCAGCCGCGAAGGGGCAGAGGAGGGGGAAGGCGACUGGAUACCGGCGGUGGCA
rnacentral:rRNA from 1 species